rnacentral:rRNA from 1 species
CCUACGGGCGGCAGCAGUGAGGAAUAUUGGUCAAUGGGCGCGAGCCUGAACCAGCCAAGUAGCGUGAAGGAUGACUGCCCUACGGGUUGUAAACUUCUUUUAUAAAGGAAUAAAGUGAGGCACGUGGGCCGUUUUGGAUGUACGUUAUGAAUAAGGAUCGGCUAACUCCGUGCCAGCAGCCGCGGUAAUACGGAGGAUCCGAGCGUUAUCCGGAGUUAUUGGGGUUAAAGGGAGCGUAGAUGGGUUGUUAAGUCAGUUGUGAAAGUUUGCGGCUCAACCGGAAAAUUUCCAUUGAUACUGGCAGCCUUGAGUACAUUUGAGGUCGGCGGAAUUCGUGGUGUCGCGCUGAAAUGC